rnacentral:rRNA from 1 species
CUAAUACAUGCAAGUCGAACGAGUUUUGGUCGAUGAACGGUGCUUGCAUUGUGAUUCAACUUAAAACGAGUGGCGGACGGGUGAGUAACACGUGGGUAACCUGCCCUUAAGUGGGGGAUAACAUUUGGAAACAGAUGCUAAUACCGCAUAAAUCCAAGAACCGCAUGGUUCUUGGCUGAAAGAUGGCGCAAGCUAUCGCUUUUGGAUGGACCCGCGGCGUAUUAGCUAGUUGGUGAGGUAACGGCUCACCAAGGCGAUGAUACGUAGCCGAACUGAGAGGUUGAUCGGCCACAUUGGGACUGAGACACGGCCCAAACUCCUACGGGAGGCAGCAGUAGGGAAUCUUCCACAAUGGACGCAAGUCUGAUGGAGCAACGCCGCGUGAGUGAAGAAGGCUUUCGGGUCGUAAAACUCUGUUGUUGGAGAAGAAUGGUCGGCAGAGUAACUGUUGUCGGCGUGACGGUAUCCAACCAGAAAGCCACGGCUAACUACGUGCCAGCAGCCGCGGUAAUACGUAGGUGGCAAGCGUUAUCCGGAUUUAUUGGGCGUAAAGCGAGCGCAGGCGGUUUUUUAAGUCUGAUGUGAAAGCCCUCGGCUUAACCGAGGAAGCGCAUCGGAAACUGGGAAACUUGAGUGCAGAAGAGGACAGUGGAACUCCAUGUGUAGCGGUGAAAUG